rnacentral:rRNA from 1 species
CAGUCGCCGCGGUAAUACAGAGGAUGCAAGCGUUAAUCGGAAUUACUGGGCGUAAAGCGUGCGUAGGCGGUGAGUAAAGUCUGUUGUGAAAGCCCCGGGCUCAACCUGGGAAUGGCAAUGGAUACUGGCGAGCUAGAGUGUGUCAGAGGAUGGUGGAAUUCCCGGUGUAGCGGUGAAAUGCGUAGAGAUCGGGAGGAACAUCAGUGGCGAAGGCGGCCAUCUGGGACAACACUGACGCUGAGGCACGAAAGCGUGGGGAGCAAACAGGAUUAGAUACCCCCGUAGUCCCUGUCUCUUAUAC